GAAAAGCUGGUCCUGCUGUGGUGGAGAGAAUGGAGGAAAGAUAAUAAAAGGCCAAACCUUUGCUCCAACUUUCUCCUUAGCUUCCCUUUGGAUCUGGAAAGCUGGGGACCCACACGGCAGAGCCAUGGUACUGGAGGAGCCAUUAACAAAGCUUUCAAUAAACCUCUCUUUCUUGAAGUUACCUGAGAAUGGAUCCAUUCCCUGCAACUGAAGAUUCUAAGGAACUGGGUUUCUCAGUAUACAAUGGGAAUGGUUGGGAGGAGGUAAAGAGUAGAAGACAGUAUCAAGAAUCCAGAGCCCAGCACCUGUAGUCCUAACUAUUCAGAUUCCUUGAGCCCAGGAGUUUGAGUCCAGCCUGGACAACAUAUUGAGACCCCCAUCUCUCUAAAAAAAAAGAGAAAGAAAGAAGGAAAGAAAAAAAGAAAGAAAGAAAGAAAGAAAGAAAGAAAGAAAGAAAGAAAGAAAGAGAAAGAAAGAAGGAAAGAAGGAAAGAAGGAAAGAAAGAAAGAAAGAGAAAGAAAGAAAAGAAGAUUGUAGCUAGGGGGAGAGUAGGUGAAAAGAUGAACAACAUGACCGGGAAGAUUUCCUAAUCUCACCACAGCCUGGCUCUACCUUAAGUCUUUAAUAAAAGCUUGACUGAAGGUACCAAGGUGUGCUGAAGUGGAAGCAAAGUUCUCCAAAGUCCAGCAUGGUAGACAUCAGUGGUGGUAACCAAGGACAGACCCCAAGGCAAGGUGAACCUCAAAAAUGGAACCUCAAGUCUAUGCAGUCCAGCUGCCCUCCCCACCAGAAAGUCCUUGUUCCAGCCCAACAUCAGUGCCUCUGAGUUUGUUUACUAGAAACAAAGGAAGAAUUUCCUUGUAAAAAUAUAGACAGAGUAGUCCCUGGCUUUCUCCUCUUGCAGGAAGGAUGGAUUCUCCCAUUCCAUACCAUCUUUCCCCCACACUGGCCCCAGAAAUACUUAAUUCAACUAUGUGAAAAUAAAGAUUGUUUUUGGUUUGAGGGCAUAGGGAUCCAUUUAUCCUUAUUCUUUAUGAGGCACUAAAUUAGCUUUGUAUGUUAUUAAAUGUGUCUCGUCAA
rnacentral:lncRNA from 10 species